rnacentral:rRNA from 1 species
CUACGGGUCGCUGCAGUGGGGAAUAUUGGACAAUGGGGGAAACCCUGAUCCAGCAAUGCCGCGUGUGUGAAGAAGGCCUGCGGGUUGUAAAGCACUUUCGGUUGGGAGGACUGCUUCUAGCACUAAUAUUGUUGGAAGUUGACAUUACCUUCAGAAGAAGCACCGGCUAACUCCGUGCCAGCAGCCGCGGUAAUACGGAGGGUGCAUGCGUUAAUCGGAAUUACUGGGCGUAAAGCGCGCGUAGGCGGCUAGAUCAGUCGGGUGUGAAAGCCCCGGGCUUAACCUGGGAACUGCAUCCGAUACUGUCUAGCUUGAGUACAGGGGAGGAGAGUGGAAUUCCACAUGUAGCGGUGAAAUGCGUAGAUAUGUGGAGGAACACCAAUGGCGAAGGCAGCUCUCUGGCCUGAUACUGACGCUAAGGCGUGAAAGCGUGGGGAGCAAACAGGAUUAGAUACCCUAGUAGUC